CGCUGGCGGCGUGCCUAACACAUGCAAGUCGAACGAAGCAUUGGAGUUGAUCCCUUCGGGGUGACGCACCUUAUGACUUAGUGGCGGACGGGUGAGUAACACGUGAGCAACCUGCCUCUCAGAGUGGAAUAACAGUUGGAAACGGCUGCUAAUACCACAUAACGUUUUUGUGCCGCAUGACACUUCAACCAAAGAUUUAUCGCUGAGAGAUGGGCUCGCGUCCGAUUAGGUAGAUGGUGGGGUAACGGCCUACCAUGCCGACGAUCGGUAGCCGGACUGAGAGGUUGAUCGGCCACAUUGGGACUGAGACACGGCCCAGACUCCUACGGGAGGCAGCAGUGGGGGAUAUUGCACAAUGGGCGCAAGCCUGAUGCAGCAACGCCGCGUGCGGGAAGACGGCCUUCGGGUUGUAAACCGCUGUCCUUGGGGAAGAAACAAAUGACGGUACCCAAGAAGGAAGCCACGGCUAACUACGUGCCAGCCGCCGC
rnacentral:rRNA from 1 species